UACAGAGGGGGCAAGCGUUAUUCGGAAUUAUUGGGCGUAAAGGGCGUGUAGGCGGCCUGGCAAGUGACGGGUGAAAGCCCUCGGCUCAACCGAGGAACUGCCUGUCAUACUGCCGGGCUUGAGUCCGGGAGAGGUGAGUGGAAUUCCCAGUGUAGCGGUGAAAUGCGUAGAUAUUGGGAGGAACACCAGUGGCGAAGGCGGCUCACUGGACCGGAACUGACGCUGAGGCGCGAAAGCGUGGGGAGCAAACAGG
rnacentral:rRNA from 1 species